GAACGAACGCUGGCGGCAUGCCUAACACAUGCAAGUCGAACGAGAUCCUUCGGGGUCUAGUGGCGCACGGGUGCGUAACGCGUGGGAAUCUGCCCUUAGGUUCGGAAUAACAGUUAGAAAUGACUGCUAAUACCGGAUGAUGACGUUAAGUCCAAAGAUUUAUCGCCUGAGGAUGAGCCCGCGUAGGAUUAGCUAGUUGGUGUGGUAAAGGCGCACCAAGGCGACGAUCCUUAGCUGGUCUGAGAGGAUGAUCAGCCACACUGGGACUGAGACACGGCCCAGACUCCUACGGGAGGCAGCAGUGGGGAAUAUUGGACAAUGGGCGCAAGCCUGAUCCAGCAAUGCCGCGUGAGUGAUGAAGGCCUUAGGGUUGUAAAGCUCUUUUACCCGGGAUGAUAAUGACAGUACCGGGAGAAUAAGCCCCGGCUAACUCCGU
rnacentral:rRNA from 2 species